GACAGAGGGGGCAAGCGUUGCUCGGAAUUACUGGGCGUACAGGGAGCGUAGGCGGUUGGGUAAGCCCUUCGUGAAAUCUCCGGGCCUAACCCGGAAAGUGCGGAGGGGACUGCUCGGCUAGAGGAUGGGAGAGGAGCGCGGAAUUCCCGGUGUAGCGGUGAAAUGCGUAGAGGAUCGGGAGGAAGGCCGGUGGCGAAGGCGGCGCUCUGGAACAUUUCUGACGGCUGAGGCUCGAAAGCGUGGGGAGCAAACAGG
rnacentral:rRNA from 1 species